rnacentral:miRNA from 14 species
UGAGCUAACUCCCAGCCCAAAAUAAAAGAUUUUUUAAAAGAAUGAAUUGCUCAGGGCUGGAGAGAUGGCUCAGCAG